UACGAAGGGGGGCUAGCGUUGCUCGGAAUCACUGGGCGUAAAGGGUGCGUAGGCGGGUCUUUAAGUCAGAGGUGAAAUCCUGGAGCUCAACUCCAGAACUGCCUUCGAUACUGAGAGUCUCGAGUCCGAGAGAGGUGAGUGGAACUGCGAGUGUAGAGGUGAAAUUCGUAGAUAUUCGCAAGAACACCAGUGGCGAAGGCGGCUCACUGGCUCGGUACUGACGCUGAGGUGCGAAAGCGUGGGGAGCAAACAGG
rnacentral:rRNA from 1 species